GGGGCCAUAGCUCAGCUGGGAGAGCGCAACACUGGCAGUGUUGAGGUCAGCGGUUCGAUCCCGCUUGGCUCCA
rfam:Marinobacter sp. JG233 contig1, whole genome shotgun sequence.